CAUUGCUGCCGCCAUCAGCUCCUGCCUCACCAGUAUUGCAGACCAUCAAAAAAUCUUCGGGAUCUGACUCGUACGGAGGUUCGUCGUACCAAUGUUGAAUUCCUCCACCGACUACUUCCAACGUGUGCAUGUCGCCGCAUCUCGCCUCUUCAUCGUACAUAUUAAAUAAUUAUUCCAAAAAGCGGCGUUCAAAACAUACAAACAAAUGUAAACUUACAUCUUCGUGCUCUUUGUUGAAUCUCUCCUUUUUUCUCAAUGCCUCCUGGACUUUUAACUGCAAAGUAAGCUCAGAAUCAGUACAAGAAACGAUUUAACAAUAAUACAAUAUUUUCAGAAAACUACAUAUGAACACAGCAACAUUUUCAAAAAGUAUAUCAUCAUACUUUGCACUGUGUGGUAUCUAAAAUAUGUUCUGAUAAACGUUAAAGUUUAUAGUGAGCAAAUAUUAUAGAAUUGAUUUUUCUUUCGUUAUUUACAAAUGACGAUUUCUCCAUUUUUACUUUAGUUGCUAAAGUAACAAAUCUAGAGAUUAACUAUCAAGCAGGUAAGAAAAGCGUCUACAGCAUUUGUAAUGUAUCCACGAAUGAGUAUUUUGUGUGUGUGUGUGUGUGUGUGCGUGGGAACGAGGCGACGCUCUCUGUGCCCUGUGUAAAAUAUUGUAUGUUCAUGGGAAAGGUAAAAAUCAUUCGUUGCACUUCCGCAAGUCCAUAAGCUGCUUUCGGCGCAGAGAGAAAAAGGAUAACAUUUUCGUAGACUUAAUUUAUAUUCGUAAAAAACAUUCGCAAAAAAGAUACUAAUAUGCAAGUAGAGUACUUAUGUUUGAACAAUUAACAAUACCCUAUGUAUGGUCUCUUCAAAGGUGUUGGCUUGACUUCCAUUUGCUUGGAGAUACUUCAGUCGAUCGUAAUCUCGGGGAUCAACCAUAGAACGUAGAACCGUGUGUCCAGUAUCUGGAGUUAGACCCAAGCCGCUCUGCAAAACACUAUCUGGGGUAUCAACCUGUUAAAGGAAGCUGAACUGAGGAAAAUGUUUUGAUUGCAAUGCUAUGGAGGAUGAAUAAAACUAUAUGAGUUCCUGCGA